UUUCCGUAGGUGAACCUGCGGAAGGAUCAUCCAUAAUAAGUGUUUUAUGGCACUUUUUUAAAUCCAUAUCCACCUUGUGUGCAAUGUCAGGGUUGAUUUUUCUCUCGAGAGGAUCAACCCCAAACAUCAACUAUAUCUCAACUCUUUGUCUGAAAAAUAUUAUGAAUAAAACAAUUCAAAAUACAACUUUCAACAACGGAUCUCUUGGCUCUC
rnacentral:misc_RNA from 1 species